rnacentral:misc_RNA from 1 species
GCAAUUGUCGGGUCUGCGUGGGUAGCUAAUAGUGUUGUGUCGUCGGCAAAUGUUGCUAUUGUUACCUCGUUUGAUAUAGGUAAGUCGGCAGUGUAGAUGGAGAACAGUAGGGGUCCGAGGACACUACCUUGGGGUAUGCCGGAUUCUAUUGGGAAUGUUGCGGAAGUGGCGCCUAGGCAUUUAACUAUGAAUUGUCUGUUGGGUAGGUAAAAGACUGAUUGGGCGAUAGGAGCUGGUUUCAUAUAUUGGUUUACCGGGUUUAGGGAUGAGGGUGAUCAGUGAGAUUUUCCAAGCCUUGGGAAAGUGUUGAAGGCGGAGGAUAGCGUUAAAGAUUGAUGCGAUGAGUGCAAUCCCUUUUAUGGGAAGUUCCUUGAUUGCUUUAUUUCCUAUUAGGUCGUGACCUGCUGCUUUCUUGGGGUUUAGAC